GUGAAUCAUCGAAUCUUUGAACGCAAAUUGCACUCCCUUCGGUGAGUAUGCCUGUUUGAGGGUCAGUAUUAUUAAAAAUCGGUGUGUUGCUUCUUUGUUACGCUCCGUGGUUUGGGUCAUCUUAAUAUCCUUUAGGUUUUUAGAGGCUCAAAAUUGACUUUUUUUGCGCAUUUUAGACGUACUUAAUUUCUUUUCUUUAUUUGUCUGUUUU
rnacentral:misc_RNA from 1 species